rnacentral:rRNA from 1 species
CGUGGCCUACGGGGGGCAGCAGUGGGGAAUAUUGAGCAAUGGGCGAAAGCCUGACGCAGCGACGCCGCGUGAGGGAUGAAGGUCUUCGGAUCGUAAACCCCUGUCAGCAGGGAAGAACGGUCACUGUGCUAAUCAGCAGUGAAUUGACGGUACCUGCAAAGGAAGCACCGGCUAACUCCGUGCCAGCAGCCGCGGUAAUACGGAGGGGGCGAGCGUUAAUCGGAAUUACUGGGCGUAAAGCGCUCGUAGGCGGUAUG